UAUGUCAUUUAAAUAAUAUGUGAAUACAAAUAUUUAAAAUUUGAGUGGCACAUACAUUUUUUUAAUUUUAUCCAAAUUAUGAAAUUUUAUGGAUUAUUGUUGAAGUGUUUGCUUCUUAUAGCGUACAUAAACUCGACGAUAAGUCAAAAUGUAUGCGUUGACUGUAGCUCACACAUUGACAAGGACUGUGAAGUCAACAAUACAGGAAUGGGGUAUUUAGCUCAAGCUCCCAGGGAUAAGUUAUUACUUCAAAAACUUGGACCGGGUGAGAAAGCCGAUUCAGACUUGGAAGAGUGCAUGAAUCCGGGUUAUAAAUUUACGGGCGAAUUGUCAACUUUCUAUUGUUUUUGGUCUCCUACGUUAAAGUGCAAGGCAGUUGGAGAGAAGAAUUUUUUAAAAGUACCAACAUCAAAACAAAAGAAAGCUAUAGUAUGUCACACAUGUGCAUCGUAUUGUGGGUGCAAAUAUUCCAAAGGAUUUUCCCCUCGCACUUUUAGUAUGCAUGUAUUGGCUUUCUUAUUGGGUCUACAUCUAUUAUGUUAAUAUUAUGAAAAGUUAUUGAUAUAUAUUUUAAAUUCCGAA